GGGCUGAAGUGUUUGCCCAAACCUCAGGCAGUCCCAGCACCCCCUGAUAGGCCUUGCUGGCUGACCACCGUGCCAUCUGUCACCAGGUCGCCGGGCUUGUACCAAAGUGACCAAAAUAAAGUCGUUAGGAGAAGAAGUGAGAAGUACAACCCACUCUCCAGCCUUGGGGUCUCUAGCUGGUUAGAGGACUCCCUCUUUGACAUGUGCCUCCUCGUCUGGGCAUAGCGACUCGCACGGACUCCCUGGGCUGCUUUCUUAGAAACGCUGUCUUUGACCUGAGUGGUAGCCCCUGAGAGCAGCAAAUCGGUUCACAGUGGGUGUCCUUCAGCCAAAUGCACGGGAGCGGAAGUGUUUGGGAUCGGGAGUUUUUUGGAAUUUCGGUAUGUUUGCAUGUGUACGUGAUGAGAUACAUUGGGGCUGGGCCCCAAGUGUAAACAUGAAAUUCAUUUGGGCUUCCUACACACCUUGUGUGCAUAGUAAUUACAUGCCUGCAUUUUUUUUUUUUUUUUUUGAGUGUGACCUGCCGCAUGAGGCCAGGUGUGGAGAUUUUCACUUUUGGAGUCAGGUCUGUGCUCAGGAAGUUUCAAAUUUGGGGGACAUUCUGGAUUUUAGGUCUUUACAUUAGGGAUGUUGAAUGAGUAAGUGGAGGGGGCCGUGGAGGCGGAAGAAACGCCCCGGGGAAGGUGGGCGUUAACCUAGUGGUGAGACGCCAGUUAAGACACCUGCGUCCUGUUUCAGUGCCAGCUCCUGUACCUGGCUCUCUCCUGACUCCAGCUUCUCGUUGACACAGACCACGAGAAGCAGUGGUGAUGGCUCACGUCGUCGGGUCUUUGCAAUUCACAUGGGAAACAGGAUUGAGUUUCCAGCUCCCGCUGAAUAUUUGUGGCAUUUGUGGAGUCAGUAGAUAAGUAGGAGCCUUGUCUAUCUGGCUCUCUCCCUCUCUCUGUAUCUCUGCCUUUCAUAUAAAUAUAUAUUUUAAAAUUUAUAAAGAAAAGUUCCUGGACACAUGGAACUAAAAGACAGAUUUCAUGGUCGGCAUUUAGUGCAGCAGCUAAGACGCUAGUUGAGACGCCCGCAUGCCGUGUGAGUGCCUGGGCCCAAGUCCCAGCUCUGCUGACUCCAGCUUGGUGCUAAUGCACACUCUGGGAAUCAGCAGGGAACGCCUUCAGUGGUGGGGUCCCUGCCGCCCACACAGGAGACCUGCAUUGAGAGCCAGGCUCCUGGUUCAGCCUCCACUGUUGUAGGCAUUUGGGGGGAGAACCAGGGAAUGGCAUCUCUCUGUGUCUCUCAAAUAAAUAAACUUUUAAAAAUAAUUUAUUUCAGAAUCCACACGGUGUUUUCAUGACAUGCAUUUUCCAUGAACUUUCUGGAGUGCCUUCAGAGCUAAAACCCCGAGUGUGGUGCAGGAUAGGAGUUCAGUAUUUAUUAGGAUUCAUAACUAUUGACUUGUUUAUUCUGCAUCUUCAACCCUUCUGCUGCUCUUCUAACCACACUCAAGGGUACUCUGUGGAAAUUAAGCCUGUGUUAACUUACAUUGUUUACAGUUAGAUGUUAUGAAACUCAGAAAUGCGGCACGUGGCUGUGGAUGUCUCUUUUCUGUGUUAAAAGCUGCCCGGGGACAAGUAAGUCAUUGCCGCUUGGUACACACGCUCUGACAGCGCAUGUCACGUGUGUGUCGCUUGUGCACUGGACUCCCAGGCAGCCUCUGGGCUUUGUGCUGUCCACCCUCCUCACUCCACUGCCAGGAUUCUGCUGGGUUGGUUUGUUCACAGUUCUUUAAGCUGCAGGAGGAGAGUGUCACAGGGACACAAAGAAGGAUUCAGUGACAAAUUAACGCUAGUGCAGUGGCCUGCUGGGGACUGCAAGGGAUGGUCAGUCAGCAUUUCCACAGACAAUCCAGUUACCUCUGGUUUCCCUACCUGUGUGAACGGAUGCACGAAAUAGAGAACAAUUCCCAAAUGUAUGCAUUUGCUCCUAUUUAAACGUUAAAUACCUCAAAGCUGUUGAGUUGUCUGGUUUUCCUAAGUUCUAAGGAAAGCACUUCACGCAGUAUGUUGGAUCCUCGCAGCACAGUCACGAUUCAUCAAGUAUUUUAUGUGGUAGCAUUUAUGAUCAAGGCAAAAUGCCUGAUUAAACAAGUAAUUAGCCUUGAGGAGAGAAGUGAACGCGGCCACCCAAUUAGUGAGCCUUGACUGUUCCUCCCAGCGGUGGAGCUGGUCACCCUCCUCACACAGCUGGGUGUUGCAGUGACCUUGUCAUGGGCUUUUACACAGUGCCCUCUGCUCUGCACAGGGGCAGAAGGUAAACAAGCACAGUGGUGAGCUUCAACACACAGGCGUGGGACAAAGGUGAGCCUGGCACUCAAGAAAUCCAGGUUUUGGGUGGCGCUGUCACUCAAGCCGUGAGACAGAGGAUUAAUACCUUGCUGACCUCGGCUCCCUCGGUUAACCAACUAUGGGCGCUGGACUGGCUGCUCUCUCAAGUCCCUCCUGGUGCUAGUGGUGUGCGAGCUGAGGGACUGCUUCCUCCCAGGGCUGUUGGGAAGCCCCUGGCCAGCGGGCUCUGUGGGCGUCAGGGCGUUGCUUUGCCCGAUCUGCUGGGUCUGUGGGCAUCAGGGCGUUGCUUUGCCUGAUCUUGGGUCUGUGGGCAUCAGGGCGUUGCUUUGCCUGAUCUGCUGGGUCUGUGGGCAUCAGGGUGUUGCUUUGCCUGAUCUGCUGGGUCUGUGGGCGUCAGGGCGUUGCUUUGCCUGAUCUUGGGUCUGUGGGCAUCAGGGCGUUGCUUUGCCUGAUCUUGGGUCUGUGGGCAUCAGGGCGUUGCUUUGCCUGAUCUGCUGGGUCUGUGGGCAUCAGGGCGUUGCUUUGCCUGAUCUGCUGGGUCUGUGGGCAUCAGGGCGUUGCUUUGCCUGAUCUGCUGGGUCUGUGGGCGUCAGGGCGUUGCUUUGCCUGAUCUUGGGUCUGUGGGCAUCAGGGCAUUGCUUUGCCUGAUCUGCUGGGUCUGUGGGCAUCAGGGCGUUGCUUUGCCCGAUCUGCUGUGGUUCCCACUGGCAGCAUUCCAGCACAUCCGCUCUGCUGUCAGCAGGAAGCAGCCAGGCAGCAACACGGCUCUGGCACAAACCAACCCAGCUGCAGGGUGCCUGCACAGCGCCCCUUUGUGCUUUCCGAUGUGGCCUGCUGUUAAAGUGUCACAGCACAAUGUAGAGCCACAGUGUGCUGUCUUCUGCCGGUUCCUCGUCCCUGGCUGAGGGGUGGCCGGACAGUGGAAGGGCCGGGAGAUGGUCAGAGCAGGAAGCCAUCCUGGAGGGCGGGUCAUGGACGCCUUUGACUCCCACCAGGCAUUCGUUCCUGGUGUUUGCUGCUGCAGGGCUGCAGCCCAGCCUCCUGCCUCACGUGGCGCUGCGGGGGAGGUUGUGUAGCGUCAGUGCCAUCCUCCUCUGCACACAGGACAGGUGACCUGGGGGAGGGGAGGCCAGCUGGAGCGCUGCAGGUCCAAGGUGGCAUGAGGCAGGGGCACAGGCAGGAGGAGGAAGAGCAGAGUGCAUUCAGACAAUGGCAACCAGUUCUGGGCAGCUUUCCAUUUAUUGAAAGAAAAAGCAAGAGGCGGGAGAAGGGCAAGUGGGGUAGGACCGUGUCCUGCUGCCCGGUGCCUUGUAGGAUCUCCACGCACAGGCCCAGCUGCAGGGGGCAACCUACACUCCAUAACUGGUCCGUGUUGGAGGAGUGGGGCUGCAAGGCCCCCGAGAAUGCUCAUGAACACACUCUGCAUGUGCGAAUCUGCUGCUUAGUGUCCAGGAGCCUGACCCCACCCCGUGAUGGAGGAGUGGACGUGACCUGACCAGGCGCUGAGCAGCUGGAAGUCUGCCCAGGAGUGAACCCUCAGCAGACCUGCGGUUUUCAAUGCUCAUUUCGAGGCAGUGUGUGGAAGGGGCAUUGCGGUGGGCAAACACGGGGGACUCCUGUGUCGAGAGUGGCCUUGGUGCCAGGGAGCCUCCCAGGGACACAGCAGGAGAGCUGUCCUGAGUCAGAGCUGGGUCACAGGAGAGAGAACACGCAGAGCCAAGUAAAAUACUGCAACCCCACAGUUCAGUGCAGCGAGCAGAGAGAAAUGGGGCUCACCUCCUGGGCUGGGGUGCAAGCAGCUGAAGGGGCCGUGCUCCUUGCAUCCUGUUCCUGUGGUACCUCCUCCCACCCCACCGUCAUUUGCCACUGAGGGAACCGUUACGAGGACCAGAGCCGAGGUCUAAGCAAGGGGCUCACUGACAGGCACCAGAGGCCAAAGGUGUACGCCUGCUAUGGAGGGGGGGUGUGGGGAAGGAACAUGCAGCCGCAGCUGCAGCUCUCCAAAUAGCCGUGAACAGCCGGAAUUCAGAGCAUGUGUGGGGCCGGAAGUGACUCCUGAGCACACUGGGUGUCAGCACCAGGUGGCUGAUUUUGGGGUGAUUUAUCUGUCAGCCUCGUGAGAGUAAUCACCCCUUUCUGUGAGUGGCUCUUGCUGGCUCAUCCUAUUGUCUGUCUAUUCUGUGUCCUCAGUGUGCCCUACAGGUUGAUGACUUGUCUGUGUUGAGCACAUCUCAUGAUUUCUGCUGCGUCUCACCUGCUACUUAUGUAAUCAUCGUCUGGCCAGCAUUUCACAAGCUCUGCACUUACUCACCAGCACUGGGUCCCAGUCUUAGGAGCUGAUCCUGCUUGCUUGUUUUGUCUUUCAUACCAGAAUUAAAUAUCCUGAUUACUUCAUCAAAUAGAGCAAAAAUAGAGACCUCUUUGGGGUUUUUUGUAAAAGUGGACACUAUAGAUAGUGUGAUUUUGUGUUUUUUUUUUUUUAAGAUUUAUUGACUUUUUUACUUAAAAGGCAGAGUAUUAGAGAGAGAGAGAGACUGCCAGAGAUUUUCAGCCUGGUAAUUCACUCCCCAGAUGGCCAAAGCAGCCAGACCUGGGUCAGGCCAGAGCCAGGAGCCGGGAACCCCAUCCUGGUCUCUCACAUGGGUGGCAGGCUCAUUAGCAGGAAUCUGGAUUGGAAGCAGAGCAGCUGGGACUCAAAUGGGCACUCUGCUGUGGUGUGCCGGCAUGGCAAGCUUAACCCACUGUGCCAUAAUGCCAGCCCCAGGUGAUGUGGUUUCAGUUAGGGAUGUGGCUGUGGAGAGUGCAAAGCUACCCCAGGAGUUGAAAUGAGCAUGAGUGAUGAUUGGCAGGACGUGGUCAGCAGAUAGGAACGUUGUUGGCUGGCUGACCCAAAGCCCUGCCUACCCCUUCUCCCUGGCUCUGUCCAGUGCAGGGGCCACAAAACCCAAAUAUCCAUGUGCAGCCUCUCCUGGGGCCUGGCGCAGCGUGGCUCACGGUCUUCUGUGAAACUUUUGUUUUUCCUAAUAACAAAAGAGACGAACACAGCUGGGACCAUCCCUCUUCUUCCUGCCUUGUACAAGAAAGUGAUGCUUGGAGCUGUGACAACCAUUGUUUACAUAGCAGGAUGUGAGCAGCUGUUGAGAAUGGCGGAUUAGCGAGAGAGAGGAAGAGGCUGGGGCUUGAUGUCAUCUCUGGGCUGCCGCUGCAGCCUGGACUGCCAGCCUCCAGCCUAUUGUUUUAGAAGAAGAAUGAGUCCCUAUUGUUACACUGCUGGGAGCUGAAUUCUCUGCCAUUUUGAGCCAAAUGCACCUUAAAUUCUCAGUGAAAAAAUUCUCAUCUCAAUCCAGCUGGCCCUACCUUGCUGCAAACUACAAAUUGUAAGGUCUCUUGCCAACCUUCAGACAAGGGGACAACUGUUAGCCUACUCCAGAGCAGAUCCACGCCGAGGCUACACCACGACAUGGAGCUGGGUUUCCUGUCUCCUCCAGGUCUCGGCAUCCCACAGAUGCAAACCAGUUCAGCGAGAAGCUAGGAGCCCGAGGCUGAGCGUUUGCGAGAGCCUCGGGUGAGUCUGAGGAGGAGCCGGGCCGAGGGCCGCUGCUUUUACAUGAGUGUGGUCACCCUCCUGCUUCUGCAUCUUGUAGCCUGCCGAGUUCAGGGCAGGGGGCCAGAGCAGAGCCUGCUGAGGGCACAGGUGCCUAUGUCUUCCCCUAGAUUCACUGCCACCUGUGACUGGGUGUGGGUGACAGCCAUGCCUCGAGGUCAUUGAAACUUCAUCUGCGUAGCACCGAGGACCAGCUGCCUGGAGCUCCUGCUGUUUACAGAUUUUUUCCUACAGAGUCCUCUUUAUGUUGAGUGCUUUGUCCAGAGUAGAGCGUUUCUCUUUACGUCUUGGUCAAAGACCUUCUCUCAAGUCUCAGUUCCACCUUUGCUUUGUAAUGGCUGUGGUAUUUCUAGCUGCAAAACUCAGGUAGGCAAACAUGUGAACUCUGUUUCCCAUGAGUGAUUCAUUUACGUCUUACGCCCUCUCUGCUUGGCAGCAGAAGGCAACCUCUGUCCCUGCCAGGCCUCCCCCCACCCCACCCAUGCCCUGGGGAGGCAGGCAGGAGAGGCUGCAGGACAUCCAGACACCUGAGACGAAUCCGUCCCUGCUGGCACCUGCCCCCCCUGGCAUCCUCAGCUGUGUCCUUGCUCCAGGGGACACCAGUGGCCAACAUCUGUCCCUGCUGGCGUCCACAGAGGCUCCUGCAGGCCCGCACUGGCCUUUGACAUAGGACGGUGCCAGCACCUGCUCUUGGGCCACUUCUCACUAGGAAGCAUUUCCUCAUCAGCCAGACCUCUUCAGGAGACUGCUGCUCCCGUGUGUCCACUCUGAGCUGUGGGAGGCUCAGAGAACUGCCUUAGCCAGCCGUGCUAAGACCUCACACUGGGGCGAAGGACGGGCAUCUCAGACUGGCCUCUUCUGCGACCGGGGAGCGACAGACAGACUCUGUCCUUGAGUUUUCUCUUCUCCCUGCCCAGCCCCAUCUGCUCAUAAAGGAGCUGCCCAGGGUUUUAACUUUCAGCUAUAAAUCUGGCGUGAUGUCAUGGCUUCCCACCACUACAUGCAUUCAAAGAAAUAAGGCCGGAGUUAAGAAAGGAAGGAACUGAACCCCCUAUGACUUGUAUCAAGCCCCCUGGAGACCCAUAGCUGCACCAUCCCUCAUUCUGGACGCAGGAUAUUUUUAAAAAUUUUUAUUUGAAAGAUCUCCCACCUGCUGAUUGACUCCCCAAAUGCUUCCAAGAGCUGGGGCCAAGCCACGCCUAAGCCAGGAGCUCAGAGCUCCAUCCAGGUCUCCCGCAUGAGGGCACAGAUCCAGGUGCUUGAGCCAGCACCUGCGCUUGCCUCCUAGCGCGCUCAUUACAGGAAGUGGGAAUUGGGAGUGGAACCAGGGCUCUGGGCUCUCUAGCAGCUUAAUGGCUAAGCCAAAUGCCCACCCACCCAUAGCAUCUGUACCUAGAAAGGAAAGGAGAAAGACACUGGCUGCAUGGGUAGGGACAGAGUAGAGAACAAAAAGUGAUCCUUUCACAUACAUUACUAAAUGUAAAUUAAAUUUAUUAAUACAUGAAAUCUAUUAGAAUACAUUGAGACUUACAAAAUACACCUGUUGACGUGGGAGUCUGCCUCCAAAGUCACACGCUAUCGUCCAGACUAGAAAAACUGAUGAAAGGCCGGCGCGGCAGCUCACUAGGCUAAUCCUCCGCCUUGCGGCACCGGCACAACAGGUUCUAGUCCCGGUCGGGACGCCAGAUUCUGUCCCGGUUGCUCCUCUUCCAGUCCAGCUCUCUGCUGUGGCCCGGGAGUACAGUGGAGGAUGGCCCAAGUGCUUGGGCCCUGUGCCUGCAUGGGAGACCUGGCUCCUGGCUUCGGAUCAGCGCGGUGUGCCGGCCGCAGCGCACUGGCCGCAGUGUGCCAGCCGCAGCGGCCAUUUGGGGGUGAACCAAUGGAAAAAGGAAGACCUUUCUCUCUCUGUCUCUCUCUCACUGUCCACUCUGCCUGUCAAAAAAAAGAAAAAAGAAAGAAAGAAAGAAAGAAAGAAAGAAAGAAAGAAAGAAAGAAAGAAAGACAGACUGAACAACCAGGAACAACAGACGGAUCCUCCCCAGCGGCAGGAGAUCCACACUUAGUUUUCCCCUUACGUCACUUUUCCCACAUUUCUCAAAUUCUACUGUGAACUUUUUGCCUUAUGUUUUAUAAUAAAAACAACUGCAAAAUGCCCACUGAAUCUCUUAAAAAGAAGGCAUAAAAGAAAGAACACUGAAUCUGACCAUGUGACACAGGCUGAACAUCCCUAGUAAUCUGAAAUACUCCAGGGUCCAAGACUGGUUGAGCACCAACCACACACACACAUGUCUGGUGCAGUGGUUAAGACACUGCUUGGCGGGAUACACAGCAGACUCAUAGAAUGGCAAAAGCCCUAAACAGCACUCUGGCCUCAGAAUCAGCCCUUAAGGCAUCCAGAUCUGGCUAAAAAGCCCAUGAGAGUUUCUGAGGCAUGAAAAGCCAAGACACCAUGGCGAAAAAUGACCUAAAUGUGAGAUCCCAGAGUAAAGAAUGGGCCAUCAAAGAAGGAGGUACCUUUCUCUGAAGGGAGGAAAGAACUUCCACUUUGAUUAUGGCCUUGUCUAAAUAAGGUCAGAGUUUGUGAACUCAAGAGGCUUCCAUAGCCUUGGCAAGAGCCUCGGGUGAUUACUGACGUCAUAAAUAAGGGUGUCAAUUGUUAAGUCAACAACAGGAGUCACUGUGCACUUACUCCUCAUGUAGGAUCCUUGUGCUUAAUGUGUUGUGCUAUGAAAAUUAACAGUAAAAAUAGUCUUCAGGCCAGCGCCGCAGCUCACUAGGCUAAUCCUCCGCCUUGGGGCGCCGGCACCCCCGGUUCUAGUCCCAGUCGGGGCGCCGGAUUCUGUCCCGGUUGCUCCUCUUCCAGUCCUCUGCUGUGGCCCGGGAGUGCAGUGGAGGAUGGCCCAAGUGCUUGGGCCCUGCACCCCAUGGGAGACCAGGAGAAGCACCUGGCUCCUGGCUUCAGAUCAGCGCGGUGCACCUGCCACAGCGCACCGGCUGCGGCGCACCGGCCGCGGCAGCCAUUGGAGGGUGAACCAAUGGCAAGGGAAGACCUUUCUCUGUCUCUCUCUCUCUCACUGUCCACUCUGCCUGUCAAAAAAAAAAAAAUAGUCUUCAAACAGUACUUUAUACUUUGUGUGUCUGUGUGGGUGCAAUCUGUUGAAAUCUUUACUUGGUAUAUACUAAGUUGAUCUUCUGUGUGUAAAGAUAGUUACAAAUGAAUCUUAAUGAAAAAAAGACACAGCUUGGGAUGCCACAUCCCUUGUCAGAUUGGCUGGUACUGAGUCCCAGCUCCACUCCUGAUUCCAGCAACCUGCUAAUGUGCACCCUGGGACCAGCGGGUGAUGAUUCAAGGAAUUGGGUCCCUGCCACCCACAAGAAAGACCUAGAUUGAGUUCCUGGCUCGUGGUUUUGGCGUGGCCCAGCCCCAGCUGUCACAAACAUUUGGGGAGUGAACCAGAAGAUGAAAGAUCUCUGCUUCUCUCUCUGUGUCUUUCAAAUAACAUAUAUACACGUGUGUGUGUGUAUAUAUAUAUAUAGGUAUAGUUAAAACUUUGGAUUUUUUAUUUUUAGGUCAGAGAUUUCAAAUGAUAAGAUUUAAGUAAAUAUUCCAAAAUCAAAAAACUCCAAAAUCUGAAACAUUUUAUUCUCAAACAUUUUGGAUAAAGACACAACCUGUAUAAAUUUAAAUGUCAAAAAUAUAAUAAACAAAAUAGAAAAGUGACAGAAAAAAUGUUCACAGAUGUGAGUAUAACAGAAAAAAAUGCUCAUGGGAAAAAAUAGAAAUGCAGGCAAACACCUAUUAACAAAACAAUAGAAGCAAACAGCCAAAACCAUAAAAAGAAUCUCACCCAAAAUUAGAUGUGCAUAUCAAGGCAAAGCUGAGAUACCACUUUUAAUUGUAUUUGCGAAGUGAAAAAUGUAUUAACCUUACUAUUGGUGAGGACACAGAGGUACUAUUGUGAUGAGCAUAUGAGUUUAGUAACUUUCCGGAGGAAUUUGAUAAAUUGGUCAAAAUUAAAAAUGCAGUGGUCAGCAUUGUGCCACAGCAGUUUAAGCCACCGCUUGGGAGGCCGCUAUCCCAUAUUGGAGUGCUGGUUCAGUCCCUGUUGCUGUACUUCUGAUCCAGCUUCCUGCUCACGUGCCCAGAAAGACAGCAGAUAAUGGCCCGAGUACUUGGGUCCCAGUCAUCCUUGUAGAAAACCAGGAUGGAGUCCCUGCAUCCUGGCUUUGGCCUGCUCCAGCCCCAGCUGUUGUGGCCAUUUGGGGAGUAAGCCAGCAAGUGGAAGAUCGACCUCUUUCGCUCUUCUUUUCAACUAAAUAAUUUUUUUUAUUUCUUUGACAGGCAGAGUCAGACAGUGAGAGAGAGAGAGAAAGGUCUUCCUUCCAUUGGUUCACCCCCCAAAUGGCUGCCAUAGCUGGCACUGCGCCAAUCCAAAGCCAGGACCCAGGUGCUUACUACUGGUCUCCCAUGGGGUGCAGGGCCCAAGGACUUGGGCCAUCCUCCACUGCACUCCCUGGCCACAGCAGAGAGCUGGACAGGAAGAGGAGCAACCGGGACAGAAUCCGGCGCCCCGACUGGGACUAGAACCCGGGGUGCUGGCGCCGCAGGCGGAGGAUUAAACUAGUGAGCCACGGCACCGGCCAGUGAUAUUUUUUUUUUAAAGCAAAGAUACAAUUCUGGAACCCCUUGCAAAAGUAAAGCAAUGGAGAAAGACAUGAACAAGUGCAGUCACUGCAGUGACACCUGUGACACGAGAAGUGGAAACAGCUCCGCUGUCUGCAGGGAAACUGGAGGACCCACCCCAAAACCCAGGAGCCCCUCCCGGAGAGGAGCGGGGGAGCAAGUCUGCAGGCAGCACGUUCUCAGGAGUUCUCGGGGAUCCCAUCCCCGCAUUCUCCAUCUGCCACUUCUCAGUUACCUCAACUUCAAAGAAGUGUCCGUGUUUAAUGAACACAUUCUUGCUUUUGGUCGCUCAGCUAAAAGCAUUGCUUCUGAUGAACAAGUGGCACAUUAAACGGAAACAGUUAUAGCUGAGACGGAAAGUGUUUGGAAGGAGAAGGAAAACGGCCUUGAGGAGGUGGACGUGAUGACCACUGAUUGUUCCGGAAAAGAAAGGACUGACCUUUCCCGCAGGGCGAGGCUGUCAGCCAUGGCACCCGUGUCCCACCACCUUGUGCCUGCGCUCCGCGGCUACACGGAGCAAAGCCUCCAAUGACCUGAGCUGUGCCAGGGCCCUGGCUCAGCUAACCAGGUGAUCCCUGGGUGAUCUGCUGAGAAGUCUGUGGGUGAAAUGCCUGGCACCACACCUGCCUGUGACAAGUGGGCAAUCGCAAUUAUUAUUAAUUAGUUACUCAUCUUUGAAAAUGCUGUUGUUCCUUAAAUGUGUGAGCACAACACUGGCUUCACCACCUUUCCCAAGCUGCUAUAGCAGAAGAAUCGUCCAGGGGUUAAGCACAGCAAUUACAUGAAGAAUGAGUCCCUGUUGGCAACGCUACUGGAGUUGAAGACUUUGUUAUUCAAGUGAAGGCUCCUGUCUGGGAAGAUGACACUCAGAGCCCCAUCAGCUGCACCUGAGACGUGCCGGGUGACAGGAGUGUGUGUGUUUCAGGUGGGCUUGAGUGCAUCUUAUGGGUUUCAGACCCCUCAGUGUGUGUGACCUGGCCGCUUUGCUCAGUGUCAGGUCAUUGUCUCGUUGGGAAUGAUUUGUCACACAGUGUGUGUGACCUGGCCACUUUGCUCUCCGUGUCAGGUCAUUGUCUCGUUGGGAAUGAUUUGUCACACUCCCUUGGGGGAGAGGGGGCGUCUCAGCACAAGUUCCUUGAACUUGACAUAGGAACUGUUGUGUGGGCAAUUUAUUCAGAGAAGGAGAGCGUGCACUCAGGAAGCGCCUAGAAGGGAAUGGAGGAAGCAGAAUAGGGGAGGAAGCAGGCAAAUAUGUGGUUUCAGAAGUCUGGCCUCGGCCUGAGCUCGUGCAACCCUGGAGUGAGUUGAGCUACAGCUUGGGGUCAACCCGCCGGAGUCCAAGGCUCUGAGAACUCCGAGUCUGUGUCCGAAAGCCCAAACCCAAAUAUAUCUGUGUGUGCGAGCCAGCAGGAAAUGGAUGUCUGGGCUCAAGUAGAGGAAGUGAAUUUGCCCUUCCUGCCCCUUCCAGUCCUGUGCAGGGCCACACUGGACGGGAUACCUGCUCAUGCUAGGCCUCCAGCUGCCUCGCUCAGCUCAUCAAUGCAAACACAGGUCUCUUCGAGACGCACCUCACCCACAUCCAGCAGUAAUGUCCCACCAGCUGGCUGGGCAUCCAUAGGCCAGUCACACUGACACGCAAAACUAACCAUCACAGACCCCAGUGACAUCUGCCUCGGAGCACAGAUGAGGAGUCCAGUUCUGGACCAUCGCUCAGGACACGGGGAAGCAUCCUUGAACCCUGCCAUGCGGUCAUGGCUGGCAGCUCUCAGCUGCUCCAGGGCUUCUCCGUGAUGAGAACAAUGCUGUCAGAACUGCCCAGUUAGCUGUGGGGACACUGGACUUACAAGGAAGCUCUGCCCACGUGCUUACUGUUUUUGUUCCCCUAUUUAAUAAUUACUAAUAUUUUAAGGCACCCUCAGUAGAAAAUAACAUAUCAAAGGCACAGUUCUUGUCCUGUAAAUGCUUGCAUUUUGCAACGUGAUGCCAUCAGGAAUCGUCCAAUAAGAUCACGAGGAUGACAUCAUUAACCAUAUGAGCCCCACGGGGGGUUUUAGGUGUGAAGCCCACAGGGUGAAGCCUUGAUUUCGAUGAGUCAUGUAGGAAAGGUCACAGGGCAGUUCGCUAGGUGCAUGAUGUUCCAUCGCUACAAGAGAAGUAAGUAAAUCCUGGCUGUGUGCUUCAGGAACCCGUUCUCCCAGAUUGGCAGGUGACAGAAGAGCAGAUGACACAGAUCAGCGCUGGCUCCUGCAGCCUGCCGGUCCCAGCGUAUCACUUCCACAGCUUCCGGUCCCCCAUUCUGCAUGCCGCUGGAGGAUUUCAUGACGUGAAUGGGUGACCAUGUGCAAAGUGAGGUCUGCUGUCCACUGUGUUCACGUCCAGUAGUACUUACGCUGCGUGGAGCUGCAGAGCCUGGGGUGGGGGUGCUCCUGUCAGGAUGUGGGUCACUUGGCACAAAGGCUGGGAGGACCCGAGGCCUGCGGUGACUUCAGGGUAGGGAGGAGGAGUGAUUGUGUCCUGUCUUCCACUUGAGAGGGCCCUCCACAGCCAGCAGGGCUCAGGAGGCCCCAGCGGUCAGAAGAGGGCUGAAGUCGUCCCAGGCAGGCGUUGUCUUUGCAUCUGUCAUUGGGUCCUUCAUCUGCACGCGGAGGGACCAUGGCUCACAGACUGGAAGGACCUGAUCCUUGAUCUUGUAGUUCAUUUUCCCAGUGUCCUGAAUGCCCAGUGUUGAUGUCCUGCAGGCUGAUUAAUUUUAACGUAUUCACAUCUAGGUCCGCAGUGUGAAAGGCUGGCUUCUUAAGCAGUGUGUGUUUCUAAGCCACCUCAAGAAGUCCCUACCGAUUCUCAAUUCCCACUCUUUCAAGUCAGCGAUUUAGUGAGAAAAUCUUGAGUCCUGGCUUCUCUACAGCCCAGAUCUCUCAAACCAGCGUUCCGGAGCAGCUCCAAGGGUGCUGCCUGCUGCUCUCUCCUUGCCACUGAAAAUGGUGUGGUGACAAAUUUCGCCUGAAGCCCAGCGAUGAAAUGCCUGGAAUCAUUACCGCAGGCCACACCUCAAGCCCCUCACAGGGACCGGCGCCUGCCUUGGAGUGGGGACGAGGACUUGGGGAGCAGGCAUUACUGAGAGUGACUUCAGGUUUGUCUCUGUCAUUCAAGCCUGACUUUCUCUACUCUCCAGAAAUCCCAGCAGAGCAGAGUCCUUGAGAAGAGGAGCAAGUUUGGAGAUGUGAAGUUCCUGGUUCAAAACACGGAGCUGAAGAACAGCCGUGUCCCUGCAGGUGAGUGACAGGAAACAGCUGGCAUAUUCAGCCAGAAAGGCCACGUAUUGGAAGGGCACUGAAUCCAGAGAGGGUGGGUACCUAGAAGCCAAAAUGGGAAAACGGGCAGGAGGCAGGAGGGACCCAAGGGAGGCUGGGGUGAUUGUGCCGUCCCGCCCAGGGGUCACCCCUUUCCAGUCAUACCCAACCCUGCUCAUUCCAUGGUGGACAAGACUCUGUCUCCAGUGCUUAGUGCCCCCUCAAGUCUGCCUUCAGUGGGCCAGGGUUGGCUGCCAUGGGAAAAUGAGGUGCUGUGAGAAGUGGCAAAAACAGUCAAACGUCCACACCGAGAGCCAGGGCCAGGCUCACAGACCGCUGACGCCGAUGAUUGGCUAUUUCACUGCAACACGUGGUACAAGCCCCGUUCCCCCGGGGACGCGCAGCAAUGUCUGAAGACAGUGUUGGCUGUUACAGCUGGGGGCAGGGAUACCGACAUCCGGUGGAUCUGAUCUUACCAUGCACAGGGCAGCCCCCACAAGAAAGAAUGGUGCAGCCAAACAUGCCAGGAGUGACAAGGUACAGGCAGGGCCAGGGGACCAAGACACCACAUUGUGGGUUCCAGAAGGUUCUAUCACUUAAUUUGGUGGAAGUAUGGAUCACACACCGAAAACCGAAAGAGGGAGAAAGCUUGAGAUCAGGUGCUGUGGGGGCUUGGGUGCCUGGCCAAGCAGUCUGGCUUGCAUUUACCAGUUUGGGGCACACCUUAGCCCAAAACUGGAGCCUCAUGGCCUGGGUCUGGCAGGUCCUGGGUGCUAGAAGCCUGGUGGAGCAUGAACGGCGUGACCGAUCCCAUGGUCAGCAGCGCUGUCUCCCUGUUCUGCUGAUGUCACUGCUAUAGAAGUUGGAAAAGCUGCGGCUUCCUAGAGUAGAACCUGCUACAGGGACCAGCUCUGUCUUCAACGUUCUCUAGCCCCUGAUCAUCUUCAUUCUUUGCCAAAUUUAAAAAUUAGUACUUUUCACUGAUUCACAUUGUUUCACGUCUCUAAAAUCAGGAUGUUCUUACAAUCAAUAGUCCACCCUAGUGUAACUGAAAGCACUGUAUUCUUUCUUUGGGAUACACCAAAGAAUGGCCCUUAGAUAAGCAGCCCUUCAAUGAAAUGUGAUCCAUUUGCUGUUUCCCUCGUUGCCAUUGGUUACAUUUUAUUCUCACUCGUUAACGCGCCGGCUGCUGGCCUGCCUGGUGGGUUUUAGUGCUGAGCUCUGGCAGGAGGCUGAGAACCACCCGGAACAUCACGGUGGCACUGGCCUCCGUCGUCUCUGUUUUGUGAUUAGGAUUGCAGCGCUCACGGUGCACAGAAGAGGUUCUGUAACCGAGCGACCGUCUCCCCACUGUGAAAGUCCAGCGCCUGCCCCCAGCGAAAUGCUUCGUUCCCUUUCCAAGGCUUUCAGAGAGUUUGUGAAAGGAACAUUCAUUCCGCUCGGCCUGCUGUGUACACGCUUUGGGGCUGGCCUUACUUUAUACAGACUUCCCUGGUCCAGCACUAGAUAAUUUUAUUUGUAUAAAGGAAGUGGAGUAAAAUUGCCUUCUCCAUCCUGUUUCUCAUUGUCAGCCUCUCCCAGGGUUUCCUCCUUUGCUUUUUUACUAAUAUGCAGUGAGACCCAUUGUCCUCCACCCAUGGCCCAAGAAGCAGAGGCUAAGGGACACCAAAGGAGGCGAUGAAUAGCUGGAAGCUUCAGCGAGUGUGAACUUGCAGGAAAUAUUUAUGAGCUGAUUUACAUACUAAUGAGCUGGAAGCACCUCAGCUGGGCCGUAGUGGGGGCAGCCGUGUUUCAGGCUGCUGCACAGAUGUUUCCAAGUGCUGUGCCGUGAGAGGGUGACGCGUUCCCACCAAUUUUCAGUUUGUAUUUUGACCGCAGUGCUCACCAGUCAAUUGGAAUCCCGAGUUGGAAAAUGUGUCCAGAGCCGGAGCAUAAAAACCACUGCCCCACGCCUUUUGAUGAACGGCUACAGGAUUGGGACCGACCCUUCCGGUUUCCUUUCCUGUCCCCUCAGGAGUCCUCCCACAGCCUCCUGGCAGGCUGGUCCUCUGCAGCACAGGCUGUCCAGAGCAGAACGAGAAGUCGUUUAUCUGCCAGUGUCCCUUGUGCCAGCAUGACUGCAGGAAAAUACUGCGGUUGCCUGUGGGCUAGAAAAGAUAAAAACACUUGCUAUUAGAGUAAAGCAAAUUUCAUUUCCAAAGUGCUUUUUACACACACUGCCUCAGGCGUGACAAUCUGCUGACUUCAUCCAACACAAACAACUGGCUCUUGUAUUUCAAAAUCAUUCUCCCAGGUUGCUGAGGGCUUUUAGUCUGGGACUGGGGGGUGGGGGCAGGCAUUUUUGCUGCCAUUAAGAUACUAAGUUCAGCAGGGAGUGAAAAACUAGGAAGACAAGGCAGAGAGUCUCUGGAAACCUGGGCAACUUCAGACUAGGUUAGGGAGCUUGCUUUACCUCCUGGAGGUUAAGUGGCAGAGCCUUGGACCACCUCUGAACCCAUGCACUUGCCACAUGGCAUGCCCAUGGAUGUGGCCAAGGCACCAGGCUGCCACCCAAAAGGGAGGUGGGGCGAUGAGGCAAAGUGUAAGUCAGCACCGCCCCCCCCCACAAAAAAAACAGUAAUCUCAAUGAGUGCUUAUUUCUAAAAAUCAAAAUGAGCGUAAAACUCCGGUCGUGUGAUGCCUCCAGCUUUGUUCUUUCUGCUCAAGGUUGCUUAGGAUAUUCCGGGUUGGUGGUGGUUUCAUUUAAAUUUUAGGAGGUUUUUUCUAUUUCUGUGAGAAAUGUCAUUGGAAUUUUGAUAGAGAUUACCUUGAAUCUAUGCAUCACUUUGGGCAGUAUGGACAUUUUGAUUUUGGGAGUUAUUUAUUUACUUGAAAGAGUUACAGAGAGGGAGGGAAAGACAGAGAUCUUCCAUCCACUGGUUCACUCCCGAGAUGAUCACAGGGCCAGUGCUGGGCCAGGCUGAAGCCAGAAGCUUGUUCCAGGUCUCCCAGGAGCGUAUCGAGGGCUCAAGCUCUUGGGCCAUCCUCCACUGCUGUCCCAGGUCAUUAGCAGGGAGCUGGAUCGGAAGUGGAGCUGCUGGGACAUGAACUGGCACCCAUCUGGGAUGCUGGCGUCAGGUGACAGCCUUACUCACUACACCAUGAUGCCAGCCCCAGUGUGGGUAUUUUAGCCACUAACUCUUCCACUUCGUACCUAUGAGAUAUUUAUUUGUGUCUUUCAUCCAUGUUUUAUGGUUUUCAGUGUAAAGUUCCGUUCCCUCCUUGGUUAAGUUUGUUCCUAAGCAUUUUAUUAUCUUUUUAUAGCUAUUGUGUGUGCUAUUGUUUUCCUGAUUUUUUCUUUGAUAGUUUAUUAGUUUGUAGAAAUGCAACUGAUUUUUUAUGUUGAUUUUAUAUCCUGAAGCCUUUCUGAAUUCAUUUGUGAGUUCUGACAGGUUUUUUGGUGAAAUCUUUGGGGUUUUCUAAAUAUAAGGUCAUGUCAUUCGCAAAGAAGGGUAAUUUGACUUCUUCCUUUCCAGUUGGGAUGCCUUUCACUUGUUUCUCACACCUGAGUGCUCUGUCUAGGACUUCCAUACUAUGUUGAGUAAAAAUAAUGACAGUGAGCAUCCUUGUUUUGUCCCUGGUCUCAGACAAAAAAAAAAAAAAAAACUUUCAGCUUUUCACUACUGAAUAUGGUAUUCACUGAGUUUUUAAUAAAUGACCUUUAUUGUGUGGGGGUGCUUACCUCUUUCUACACUUGUCUUCAAAACAUACUAUGUAGCUACAGUAAUUACUGGCAUAAAAACGUACUCUGUAGCUAUAGUAAUGACUGGCAUAAACACAAACACACCAGUGGAACAGAAUAGAGAACCCUGAAUUAAACACACAUACUUAUGGUGAAUUGAUUUUUUUUAAGAUUUAUUUAUUUAUUUGAAGACAGUUACAGAGAGGCAGAGGUAGAAAGAGAGAGAGGUCUUCCAUCUGCUGGUUUACUCCCCAAAUGGCUGCAGCUGCUAGAGCUGGGCCAAUCUGAAGCCAGGAGCCAGGAGCUUCUUCCAGGUCUCCCAUGCAGGUGCAGGGGCCCAAAGACUUAAGCCAUCUUCCACUGCUUUCCCAGGCCAUAGCAGAGAGCUGAGCUGAAAGUAGAGCAGCUGGGUCUUGAACCAGUGCCCAGAUGGGAUGACGGCACUGCAGGCAGCAGCUUUACCGCUCAUUCCACAGCACCCACCCAGUGAACUGACUUUCAACAAAUGUGAAGAACACCCUGUGGAGAAAGGACAGUCUAUUGAACAAUGCAAUAAUACACUUAUCUCAUGCUACAUACAAAACUCAAUUAAAAAUGGAUUAAAGGUUUAAAUGGAAGACAAGAAAUUGUGAAAUUACUUGAGAAAGUCAUAGGGAAGAUCUCUGUGACAUUGAUCUGGGCAGCGGGGGGCGGAGGGAGGGAUGGGAACCCAAAAUACAAGCAGCAGAGCAAAAAUAGAGAAUUGGGAUUACAUCAAACUGAACAGCUUCUGCACAGCCAAAGAAACAGCCAACAGAGUGCAAAAACAACUCACAGAGUAGGAGAACUCUCUGUGAACCAUGCAUCUGAUAAGGACCUAAUAUCCACAAUACAUGAGUAUAAAGAACUCAAACACUCAAUAGUAAGAAAACAAAUAACCCAGUUUAAAAAUGAGCAUAGGAUCUAAACAGAUGCAUCUCAAAAGAAGACAUCCAAAUGGCCAACAAGUACAUGAGGAAAAUGAUCAACAUCAUUAGUCAUCAGGGAAAUGCAAAUUAAAAUCACAAGGAGAUAUCACUUCACACUUGUUAGAAAGGCAGUUAUCUAAAAAAGCAAGAGACAACCGUUAUAGAGAGGUAGAGGAAAGGGAACCCUCACACACUGUUGGUGGGAAUGGAAAUUAGUACAGGCAUGUGGGAAACAGCAUGAGUUUUACAAAAAAAAUUAUAGUGGAACUGCCUCAGGACCCAGCAGCCCCACUACUGGGCACAUAUCCAGAGGGAGUGAAGUCCGUAUGUCAGCAGGACACCUGCACGCCUGUGUUCGUGGCUGCGUUAUUUACAGUGGCCAAGACACAGAUCGGAGUGUCUGUCAGUGGAUGGAUGAGCACAGAAACUGUGCUGUGCACACACAACGGAAUACCACUCAGCCUCAGAAGAAAAGAAGGAAAUCCUGUCACUUGCAGUAACAAAUGGAUGAUCUGGAGAACAUCACAUGAAAUGCAGUAAGGCAAGUCUGGGAGAAAACACUGCAUUAUCACACAUGCAUGUGGAAUGUAAAACAGUGGAGCUCCUACAGGCAGAGCUAGAACAGGGGUUAGCAGAGGCGGGGGAGACACAGAUCAAAGGAUACAGAAUUGGGGCCAGCGCUGCAGUGUAGCAGGUCAAAGCCCUGGCCUGCAGUGCUGGCAUCCCAUAUGGGCGCCAGUUCUAGUCCCUGCUGCUCUGCUUUUGAUCCAGCUUCCUACUGAUGGCCCAGGAAAGCAGUGGAACAAGUUCUUGGGCCCCUGCAUCCACAUGAGAGACCUGGAAGAAGCUCUUGGCUCCUGGCUUCAGAUCAGCUCAGCUGCAGCCAUUGUGGCUAUUUGAGGAGUGAGCCAGUGGAAUGAAGACACCUCUCUUGUCUGUCUGUCUCUCUCGCUCUAACUCUGUCUUUCAAAUCAAUAAAAUAAAUCUUUAAAAAAAUAGAACACAAAGUUUCAGUUGGAUAGAAGGAAAAAUUCAAGAACUCUGUAAGCAUAUCUGUCUCUUCAAACGCUCAACUUUUUUUAUGAUGAAAACAUUCAAAAUCGUGUUUAGUUUUCUUUAGAGAAGUAUACAGAACAUCAUCUCUCUCUGUAGUCACCUUGCGGUGCAGAGGAAAUAAUUCUCCUCAGUGACUUAUUGCGAGCGUGGGUGGUCUUCUGGGUGCUCCCUUCAAGUCUGUCUGUUGGGUAUCGCUCUCACCCAACACAACCCCAUGUAAGCUACUGUAGCUGCACAGUAAGCUUCCCAUCGCCGAGUCUGGUCCCCCCCUCCUGUGUCUUCCUCCCCUCCCCCAAAACAUUCUCAGCUGUUCCAUCAAUCUCACCUUCCAGAUUAGUUCGUGGCCUAACUUGAGGGAAACGAUAUGUUUCUAACACCCAGUCUUUCCAACUAUAGGUCCAGCACUCCAGAGCCUAUGGCCAGGUCCUGGAAGGCACUUGCCGCUGGAUUGGUUGUUUGCGUCUGCUGACCGGACAUAAGUGCACUUCCCCAGUUUCCUGUGCAGAGACACGGGCAUUAAUUACCUGAUACCAGGAGAACUCAGCCCACAGUCAAAGAGCAGUUGCCUCACGCCCUUCAGGAAUUUUCUGAAUAUAAAAAUGGAUCAUUGGCCGGCGCUGUGGCUCACUAGGCUAAUCCUCCACCUAGCGGCACCGGCACACCGGGUUCUAGUCCCAGUCGGGGUGCCGGAUUCUGUCCCGGUUGCCCCUCUUCCAGUCCAGCUCUCUGCUGUGGCCCGGGAGUGCAGUGGAGGAUGGCCCAAGUCUUUGGGCCCUGCACCCCAUGGGAGACCAGGAGAAGCACCUGGCUCCUGCCAUCGGUGCACCGCGCUGGCCGCGGCGGCCAUUGGAGGGUGAACCACCAGCAAAGGAAGACCUUUCUCUCUGUCUCUCUCACUGUCCACUCUGCCUGUCAGAGA